rnacentral:rRNA from 1 species
AACGAACGCUGGCGGCAUGCCUAACACAUGCAAGUCGAACGAGACCUUCGGGUCUAGUGGCGCACGGGUGCGUAACGCGUGGGAACCUGCCCUUAGGUUCGGAAUAAUUCCCCGAAAGGGGUGCUAAUACCGGAUAAUGUCUUCGGACCAAAGAUUUAUCGCCUUUGGAUGGGCCCGCGUUGGAUUAGCUAGUUGGUAGGGUAAAAGCCUACCAAGGCGACGAUCCAUAGCUGGUCUGAGAGGAUGAUCAGCCACACUGGGACUGGGACACGGCCCAGACUCCUGCGGGAGGCAGCAGUGGGGAAUAUUGGACUAUGGGCGAAAGCCUGAUCCAGCAAUGCCGCGUGAGCGAUGAAGUCCUUAGGGUUGUAAAGCUCUUUUACCCGGGAUGAUAAUGACAGUACCGGGAGAAUAAGCACCGGCUAACUCCGUG